AAGGUGUUUUCCCUCUUUGUGGCGUCCCUAAUACAUGCAAGUCGAGCGGACAGAUGGGAGCUUGCUCCCUGAAGUCAGCGGCGGACGGGUGAGUAACACGUGGGCAACCUGCCUGUAAGACUGGGAUAACUCCGGGAAACCGGGGCUAAUACCGGAUAAUUCUUUCCCUCACAUGAGGGAAAGCUGAAAGAUGGUUUCGGCUAUCACUUACAGAUGGGCCCGCGGCGCAUUAGCUAGUUGGUGAGGUAACGGCUCACCAAGGCAACGAUGCGUAGCCGACCUGAGAGGGUGAUCGGCCACACUGGGACUGAGACACGGCCCAGACUCCUACGGGAGGCAGCAGUAGGGAAUCUUCCGCAAUGGACGAAAGUCUGACGGAGCAACGCCGCGUGAGUGAUGAAGGUUUUCGGAUCGUAAAACUCUGUUGUUAGGGAAGAACAAGUACCGGAGUAACUGCCGGUACCUUGACGGUACCUAACCAGAAAGCCACGGCUAACUACGUGCCAGCAGCCGCGGUAAUACGUAGGUGGCAAGCGUUGUCCGGAAUUAUUGGGCGUAAAGCGCGCGCAAGCGGUUUCUUAAGUCUGAUGUGAAAGCCCCCGGCUUAACCCGGAGGGGUCAUUGGAAACUGGGGAACUUUAGUUCAGAAAAAAAGAAUGGAAAUUCCCUUGUUCC
rnacentral:rRNA from 1 species